UUGACUUUUUAUUAACAUGUCAUUUUUAUAAUCGGCGUAAAGGUAAAAUCCUCGAGCGAUGCCUCCUGAGAAAAUUAUAUUUUUCAAUAAUUCUUACAUCGCCUUACAUGAUAAUCCUUACAUUCAGGUGUGUUGCAGGUGAAUGUAUCCUGAGUUCUUUAUUUAGCUCAAGUCAGUGGAAAUGAGAUGGCAGCGACUUUCAACAGGUCUGGACACUUCGAGAUGGAGAAUUCAAGACUUGAUGAAGUAGACUAUGCUUGGGACAGCCUUCAGGAGGCCAAAUCCGUGUUACGGCAGAUUGAAAACAAGUACCAGUU